AGGGGGAUAACUACUGGAAACGGUAGCUAAUACCGCAUAACGUCUUCGGACCAAAGUGGGGGACCUUCGGGCCUCACACCAUCGGAUGUGCCCAGAUGGGAUUAGCUAGUAGGUGGGGUAAUGGCUCACCUAGGCGACGAUCCCUAGCUGGUCUGAGAGGAUGACCAGCCACACUGGAACUGAGACACGGUCCAGACUCCUACGGGAGGCAGCAGUGGGGAAUAUUGCACAAUGGGCGCAAGCCUGAUGCAGCCAUGCCGCGUGUAUGAAGAAGGCCUUCGGGUUGUAAAGUACUUUCAGCGGGGAGGAAGGCGAUAAGGUUAAUAACCUUGUCGAUUGACGUUACCCGCAGAAGAAGCACCGGCUAACUCCGUGCCAGCAGCCGCGGUAAUACGGAGGGUGCAAGCGUUAAUCGGAAUUACUGGGCGUAAAGCGCACGCAGGCGGUCUGUCAAGUCAGAUGUGAAAUCCCCGGGCUUAACCUGGGAACUGCAUUUGAAACUGGCAGGCUAGAGUCUUGUAGAGGGGGGUAGAAUUCCAGGUGUAGCGGUGAAAUGCGUA
rnacentral:rRNA from 17 species